ensembl:lincRNA Gm19710 predicted gene, 19710
AACCUACUAUGAAGCUUACUUUUCAAGCACAGAAAAUUUGGUCUACAUAGCCUCUUUUACAAGGUGACUUUUUUUUUUUAAACCUUAAAGUAGAAGAAAAUGAAAAAUGGACAAGAAAACUUUGGAGAUAAAAUGCAUUGGCUCCUAGUGUCCAGAAAGACAUGCACGGAAAGAACGCAGAGUUAGCUAAAGAAAUACCACAGUUUAUUGAAGACUACAAAUAUUUUGUUACAAGUUGGAACUACAUGCCUUCCAGAAAUCAAAAGCAACAGCAGGUGUGUGCAUUGAUGCUUCGGAGGUGCUGCAUGGCUCGAACUCGAAAUGGUUUCUGCUGAGCCGGCUGAGGGCUGGAGGACUGGUUGUCUGAAGACCCCGGAGACAUCUGUGGAGCCGAGGUGGAUUUGCUUGGCAGAGGAGAAGACGGGGGAGGUGGUGCAGCUGUCGAGGUAGCCACUGCAGGUGGCUUCUCCUGAAGGAAUACCUCCAUCAUGGU